GCCUGGAACAUGGUGGCAGCGAGGGCGGUGCCGUUGGUGAUCUGGUGGAGCUUCUUGGCGCCGAAGUAGUCGAGGAGGAUGUGGAGGGAGAGGAUGUUUUUGAUGGUGUAGAUGGAGGGCUUCUUGGCGAGGAGGGCUGACAUGGCGGAGUUGUCUACGGCGCAGACGGUGAUGGUGGUGUGCUGGUUGAUUUCGGCGGCCAGGUGGGUCAGGGUAAGGUAGUGGUUGAAGGUCGAGAACUCCGGGUGCUUGGCCAGGAUGCGCGUGAUGUUGUGGGCUUGGGCGAGGGUGGUGAGGAGGGUUAGGGUUA
rnacentral:lncRNA from 1 species